AUUGAACGCUGGCGGAAUGCUUUACACAUGCAAGUCGAACGGCAGCACGGGGGCAACCCUGGUGGCGAGUGGCGAACGGGCGAGUAAUACAUCGGAACGUGCCCAGUCGUGGGGGAUAACGUAGCGAAAGCUACGCUAAUACCGCAUACGAUCUACGGAUGAAAGCGGGGGAGCGCAAGACCUCGCGCGAUUGGAGCGGCCGAGGGCAGAUUAGGUAGUUGGUGGGGUAAAGGCCUACCAAGCCGACGAUCUGUAGCUGGUCUGAGAGGACGACCAGCCACACUGGGACUGAGACACGGCCCAGACUCCUACGGGAGGCAGCAGUGGGGAAUUUUGGACAAUGGGCGCAAGCCUGAUCCAGCCAUUCCGCGUGCAGGAUGAAGGCCCUCGGGUUGUAAACUGCUUUUGUACGGAACGAAAAGGCCUAGGCUAAUACCUUGGGCUCAUGACGGUACCGUAAGAAUAAGCACCGGCUAACUACGUGCCAGCCGCCGCCGUAAGAC
rnacentral:rRNA from 1 species